rnacentral:rRNA from 1 species
AUGCGGUUACCAAAGCGCGCGCUCACGUUCCGGCGAAGAGCCGCAACUCCUGAAACCCCACACGCGGCCGCUCGAACCGCAACAAAACCGCCCGUUCCCACAUCAGUGCGUGCACCACCGAUGGAGAACGCCACUGCCGCGCCAGUAACGGAAGAAGCCCUGCCCAUGGACACGCCGCUGGCGGCGACGCGGCCGGCGAGCCGUCGCUCGAACCCCGUGGUGGAGCGGAAGUUCGUCGAACUUGACGACUGCCUCGCCAAGGCGCUGAACUCCCGGCCGCGGCGCUAUGACGUGGACGCCAGACUAUUCCCGGAGAUCCAGGCCAGGAUCGACUUCCUCCGCUCGCUCAUCGCCGCCGAGCGGGACAGCCACAGCCACACCGGCGGGCGGCCGGGGCACCUUGUCGAGGCCGAGGAGCGCUUCGGCGUCCUCGAGAGGGCGUUCCAGCAGUGGGCGCAGAGUGUCGUCGCCGCGGCAACCGAGGACGAAGAAGCCGAUCAGGCGGCAUCCGAGUCCGGGUCGUCCGGCGGCUGCUCAUGCAACGACUCCUGCUCCGGCUUCGAGUUCACGGGCCUGGAGGUGGCGUCCGACCCCAAGUGCAACCCCGAGAGCGGCGACGCGGCGGAAGCACAAAAGGAGGCGGCCGCGGCGAUAGAGGUGGCGCCUGCGACAGGUACUACCGCUCGGCGGCGCUGGUGGAGGCGGUGCGCCGCUCUGUGCGGCGCUGCUGGCGUGGUGGCGGUGAUCGCGCUCGCGGCCGGUUUGGCGUUAGAGUUUGCCGCGGUGGCGGGGCCGUCAGUCAACCUUGUUCCGACGUAG